AAUGUAAAUUCCUUGAAAACAGUGAUCUGUGUGCUGUGUUCAUAAUCAUAUCCUCAACAGUGCCCAGCAAUAGAAGGCACUCCAUAAGCUCUGCUGAAUAUACACAAGCGUCCUUUUCCAUUUACAAGUGGAGAUCACCAUUCAACAUAUGGCAAUCCAGAAGGCUUCAUCACACACCACAGACCAGGCAGGGUACCAAGAGCAUGAAGAGAAGCGUGCCUGGGCUUAGAGCCACCGUGUCUUCACUUGUGUGACAUUCUGUUGGCGAAAGCCUGGAUUCUCAGAAUGAAGAUGCAGCUCCACCUCUGGAUGGUGAACACUGAAAUCAUACUAUGGAGUGUGUGCACAUAGGGAGGCGCAGAAGAGAGGGCUGUCUCUCCCAGGAGAACCAGAAAAUGUCGGAAGAUGUUAAGAUCCCCGAUUACUUAGAGGAAAAACAACUAAAACAAGAACGUUGUUUAUCACUGUCGUGGAAAUUUCCUUUUAUUCUUGACACAACUUGAUGACUUAAAGUGUGUUUUCUUCUGUGUGAAGUACGUGAGCUUUCUCACUAAGCAUUCCCAACUCAUUGGAAGUGAUGUGGUUAUAAAGAUAAGUUAGGCGGCUAGACCCUGCAUUCUAAAAAAACGAUUACUUGAUCUGUUGCUUUGGCCAUUCAUUUGCACAAAAAGAGUGUGGCUCUCUGUUCUGAGAUCUUCAGCUACUUCAUAGUGCAAUAACACACACAUGCUUAACCAUGUUGAUGGCACAAAGCAGUGAGCAGUAGGGAGGCAGAGUAUCUUGGUGGGGAGGGGAUGUUAUCAGCUUCUGGGAGAUGGAGAAUAUUGUUGAGUUCCAAAGAUGCUAAAUUCUUCAGUGAUAUAAAAAAUCAUUGAGCAUUCAUUAUUGUGAAUGAAGUGGGGAUGCAUUAUUUCUGACACCCACAAGCAGGGUUUGAUCAUCCUUUCAGCUUUGAUGUAUCUGCACAUAAAAUUAUUAUUACCUGAAGAAAAUAAGGCUGCAUUUUGAAAUGUUAAGUGCAAAACAACUGGUGUUAAAACCAACUGGGGGAAAUCUUGGGAUUUUUUUCUUAGGAAAUCAUAUGGUUUUGAUAUAUUUUGGCACAUAGGAGACAGAAAUGGUGAUUAUCAGGCAUUGAGCCUUUUUUUGGUGGUUUUAGUCUUUGAUAGUCUGUAAGUACUAGUUCCUAGGGCAACAACAUUGCAUUCCUUGGUUUAUACUUUUUCUAUUCACCAGAGUAGGAAAUCUUAAAUCCUUAGGCAUCCAAGAAGUAUACCAGCUUUUUGCUUCUCUUUUAGAAACACUUGUGGGGACAGAAAAAAGGAUGGUUUGAGCAUAUUGAUAUAGUUUGAGUAAACUAAGGUUAAUGUUCAUGUAACAUUUAGACUUUGCCAUAAAUAUCAGAACCAAAGAUUAAGACAUUCAUGUGCAGUCUGG